AAGUCGAGCGAACAGACGAGGAGCUUGCUCCUCUGACGUUAGCGGCGGACGGGUGAGUAACACGUGGAUAACCUACCUAUAAGACUGGGAUAACUUCGGGAAACCGGAGCUAAUACCGGAUAAUAUAUUGAACCGCAUGGUUCAAUAGUGAAAGACGGUUUUGCUGUCACUUAUAGAUGGAUCCGCGCCGCAUUAGCUAGUUGGUAAGGUAACGGCUUACCAAGGCAACGAUGCGUAGCCGACCUGAGAGGGUGAUCGGCCACACUGGAACUGAGACACGGUCCAGACUCCUACGGGAGGCAGCAGUAGGGAAUCUUCCGCAAUGGGCGAAAGCCUGACGGAGCAACGCCGCGUGAGUGAUGAAGGUCUUCGGAUCGUAAAACUCUGUUAUUAGGGAAGAAUAAAUGUGUAAGUAACUAUGCACGUCUUGACGGUACCUAAUCAGAAAGCCACGGCUAACUACGUGCCAGCAGCCGCGGUAAUACGUAGGUGGCAAGCGUUAUCCGGAAUUAUUGGGCGUAAAGCGCGCGUAGGCGGUUUUUUAAGUCUGAUGUGAAAGCCCACGGCUCAACCGUGGAGGGUCAUUGGAAACUGGAAAACUUGAGUGCAGAAGAGGAAGUGGAAUUCCAUGUGUAGCGGUGAAAUGCGCAGAGA
rnacentral:rRNA from 1 species